GGGCCCGCACAAGCGGUGGAGCAUGUGGUUUAAUUCGAAGCAACGCGAAGAACCUUACCAGGUCUUGACAUACUCGUGCUAUUCCUAGAGAUAGGACUUUCCUUCGGGACAGAGGUGACAGGUGGUGCAUGGUUGUCGUCAGCUCGUGUCGUGAGAUGUUGGGUUAAGUCCCGCAACGAGCGCAACCCUUAUUGUUAGUUGCCAUCAUUCAGUUGGGCACUCUAGCAAGACUGCCGGUGACAAACCGGAGGAAGGUGGG
rnacentral:rRNA from 1 species